UUGCCUGACUUUAAUCUGUACCUUUUCUGCAUAGUAAGCUGUGAACCCUGGAAGAACAGUUUCACGGUGAGUUCUGAGUCAGAGAGCUGUCAAACCGAGGGUGGCCUCGGGACCGUUUGGACUUGGAGUUGUGUCAGAUGAGGGUGGUCUCGGAGACCGUUCCCGCUACCUUUGCAGUCGGCUGACUUCGCAGGGAGCCUCAGCCCCUGGGGGACACUUAGGAAGAAUAUGCCGAGCAGUGGGCAGAUGUGUGAGUUCCUUCCGUGCAGUCCUUGCUGUUGCGGGUCACUCAGCCGAGCUCCUGAUGCGGAGAAACCUCCCUCCUGGUGAUUCCUCAGUGCCUCCCUUCACUGGAGACGGACGGCGGCUCUCCGGGAAGCAGAUUGUCCUCGCAAGGAUCUGUUCCUGUCCCGGUGGAUUCACAUGCACAGAUUGCCCAGACACAAGCACAGGCUCUCGGUGGGAGCCCUGAUCCCUGUCUGCGCAGCACCCAUGGUUCCGGAGGUCAGUGCGCCAGAGGCACCGAUUCCCAAAGCACACAAAGGAGGUGGAGGACACCAGGACUGGUGGGAGCCGCUGACGACAACCUUCAGGUUGACCGAGCUCAGGUUGCUGUCAUGCUGGUUGGCUGCCGAAGCGGCUUCUGCUUUGUGUCCGGCAACUUCAGGGGUGGAACCCGCAGAGGGACUAGCCCAAGAGCUGUCCUCGGUUGUAUGCAUGCUUCUUAUAGCCACAGGGAGAGCAGCGUACAGAUGUUGAGGAUCCUGGGCUUGGCCAAGGCUAAUAAAGAGGCUAUUUUCUUUUUCAUGAAUCAAUUUAAUAUUCCUGGCCAGCUAGAAGCACCUGGUUAACUCAAUAUACAGGUAUGUGGCUUCUGCCUGUGCCCUCAACUGUUAAACCCUGCAGCUACAGAGAUGAUUAAGACAGACUCUAGCCUCGUCAGUCUGGGGUGAGUUCAACGGGGCCCCCUGGCCACCAUGGAGCUCCGGUAAAGGUGAGCUUGCUCGAUCCAUCCUGUUCAUCAUCUCACAGCAGCUCUGCUUUUUACAUCUGAACCCAGGAAGCACAGACGCUGUUCCUCAAGACGAUGCCACAGAUCCUGUCACACACAACAGCUCGAGUGAAGCCGUUUCAGCCCAGCUUCCACAGACAGCUGUGGAGGAUCAGAUGCCAGCUCUGCGCAUUGGCACAGCUGUGGCCAGGGCCCAGCUAGGUGCAAAGGGAAUGUGCUGCUGAUUUGCUUCUUGGAUUUAAGCGGAGGAUGUCUUUGCUGACGGUUUCGUGACGGGAGCACCCUGAAGCCCCUCUCGCUGCCACGUCUGGAACUCCGGCAGGACCUUGUGCUUGUGAGGCAGGCCGCGGAAGCACUGAGCUAAAUCUCCGGCUCCAGGACAUUUAUUUCAGGGCAACGGCUCACAGGACAGUGGACACUAAGAAGUUUGGCUUGUGUGACAAGUACCAAGCAGACAGCAAGUACUGCAACAAAAUGCAUCAGAGUGAAUCGAAUACCAAAUCCGACAAGUUUCAAAGCACUUAAAUACUCAUCUGUGACCAUAGAACACAACUGCGGGGUAAGUAAGGCUCCCUGUCAGAGACGGGGUGUAGGGGAGCCUCUCUGUGAAACGGGGAGAGGGGUCAAAGCCAGGGUAGCAACAGAGUGACACUUUCUCCUGGACGUCGUUAGGCUGUGGAAGAGGAGUUAGAUUGGGACAACAGAGUGUUACUUAAAGUGGAUCCCAAACUGGCUGG